rnacentral:rRNA from 1 species
GAGUUUGAUCGUGGCUCAGAUUGAACGCUGGCGGCAUGCCUUACACAUGCAAGUCGAACGGCAGCAUGAUCUAGCUUGCUAGAUUGAUGGCGAGUGGCGAACGGGUGAGUAAUACAUCGGAACGUGCCCUGUAGUGGGGGAUAACUAGUCGAAAGAUUAGCUAAUACCGCAUACGACCUGAGGGUGAAAGUGGGGGACCGCAAGGCCUCAUGCUAUAGGAGCGGCCGAUGUCUGAUUAGCUAGUUGGUGGGGUAAAGGCCCACCAAGGCGACGAUCAGUAGCUGGUCUGAGAGGACGAUCAGCCACACUGGGACUGAGACACGACCCAGACUCCUACGGGAGGCAGCAGUGGGAAUUUUGGACAAUGGGCGAAAGCCUGAUCCAGCAAUGCCGCGUGUGUGAAGAAGGCC